rnacentral:rRNA from 1 species
GCCUACGGGGGCUGCAGUGGGGAAUAUUGGACAAUGGGCGAAAGCCUGAUCCAGCCAUGCCGCGUGUGUGAAGAAGGCCUUCGGGUUGUAAAGCACUUUCAGUGGGGAAGAAAGCCUUGGGGCUAAUACCCUCGAGGAAGGACAUCACCCACAGAAGAAGCACCGGCUAACUCCGUGCCAGCAGCCGCGGUAAUACGGAGGGUGCGAGCGUUAAUCGGAAUUACUGGGCGUAAAGCGCGCGUAGGCGGUCUGAUAAGCCGGUUGUGAAAGCCCCGGGCUCAACCUGGGAACGGCAUCCGGAACUGUCAGGCUAGAGUGCAGGAGAGGAAGGUAGAAUUCCCGGUGUAGCGGUGAAAUGCGUAGAGAUCGGGAGGAAUACCAGUGGCGAAGGCGGCCUUCUGGACUGACACUGACGCUGAGGUGCGAAAGCGUGGGUAGCAAACAGGAUUAGAUACCCCAGUAGUC